rnacentral:rRNA from 1 species
GCCGGACUGGGAUAGGGCCUCGCUGCCUUGCCCGUCUGGCGCCAUAUUCACCCAUGUCUUUUUGCGUACUACUUGUUUCCUUGGCGGGUCCGCCCGCCAAUUGGACCUUAUUCAAACCUUUUUUUCAGUUGCAAUCAGCGUCAGCAAAACAAAUGUAAUCAAUUACAACUUUCAACAACGGAUCUCUUGGUUCUGGCAUCGAUGAAGAACGCAGCGAAAUGCGAUAAGUAGUGUGAAUUGCAGAAUUCAGUGAAUCAUCGAAUCUUUGAACGCACAUUGCGCCCUUUGGUAUUCCAAAGGGCAUGCCUGUUCGAGCGUCAUUUGUACCCUCAAGCUUUGCUUGGUGUUGGGCGUCUUGUCUCUCUCCCGAGACUCGCCUUAAAAUCAUUGGCAGCCGGCCUACUGGUUUCGGAGCGCACACAUUAUUUGCGCUCUUGUCCAGCCGCGGUCGCGCGUCCAUGAAGCUUCUUUCAACCUUUUGACCUCGGA